GACGAACGCUGGCGGCAUGCCUAAUACAUGCAAGUCGAGCGGAGUUGAUAGAAAGCUUGAUUUCUUGAUACUUAGCGGCGGACGGGUGAGUAACACGUAGGCAACCUGCCCUCAAGCUUGGGACAACUACCGGAAACGGUAGCUAAUACCGAAUACUUGUUUUCUUUGCCUGAAGGAAACUGGAAAGACGGAGCAAUCUGUCACUUGGGGAUGGGCCUGCGGCGCAUUAGCUAGUUGGUGAGGUAACGGCGCACCAAGGCGACGAUGCGUAGCCGACCUGAGAGGGUGAUCGGCCACACUGGGACUGAGACACGGCCCAGACUCCUACGGGAGGCAGCAGUAGGGAAUCUUCCGCAAUGGGCGAAAGCCUGACGGAGCAAUGCCGCGUGAGUGAUGAAGGUUUCCGGAUCGUAAAGCUCUGUUGCCAGGGAAGAACGCUUGGGAGAGUAACAGCUCCCAAGGUGACGGUACCUGAGAAGAAAGCCCCGGCUAACUACGUGCCAGCAGCCGCCGUAA
rnacentral:rRNA from 1 species